rnacentral:rRNA from 1 species
UACUGACGUUUGAGGAGCGAAAGCGUGGGGAGCAAACAGGAUUAGAUACCCCUGGUAGUCCCACGCCGUAAACCGUUGGGUACUAGGUGUGGCGAUUCUGAUUCAACCGAUUGCCGUGCCGAAGGUUAACGCAUUAAGUACCCCGCCUGGGGAGUACGGCCGCAAGGCUAAAACUCAAAGGAAUUGACGGGUCCCCCGCACAAGCGGCGGAGCAUGCGGNUUAAUUCGAUGCAACCCGAAGAACCUUACCUGGACUUGACAUCCAUGGGAAAAGCCGUGGAAACACGGUGUGCAUUAGCGUCCCAUGACUGGUGGUGCAUGGCUGUCGUCAGCUCGUGUCGUGAGAUGUUGGGUUAAGUCCCGCAACGAGCGCAACCCUUGUCNUAUGUUGCCAGCGGUUCGGCCGGGGACUCAUAGGAGACUGCCGGGGACAACUCGGAGGAAGGUGAGGACGACGUCAAGUCAUCCAUGGCCCCUUAUGUCCCAGGGCUGCACGCAUGCUACAAUGGCCGGUACAACGGGCAGCGAUCCAGCGAUGGUGAGCGAA